rnacentral:rRNA from 1 species
UACGGGAGGCAGCAGUGGGGAAUAUUGGACAAUGGGCGAAAGCCUGAUCCAGCCAUGCCGCAUGAGUGAAGAAGGCCUUCGGGUUGUAAAGCUCUUUUAGUGAGAAAGAUAAUGACGGUACUCACAGAAGAAGUCCUGGCUAACUCCGUGCCAGCAGCCGCGGUAAUACGGAGAGGGCUAGCGUUAUUCGGAAUUAUUGGGCGUAAAGAGCGCGUAGGCUGAUUUAGUAAGUUAAAAGUGAAAUCCCAAAGCUUAACUUUGGAAUUGCUUUUUAAAACUGCUAGUCUAGAGAUUGAAAGAGGAUAGAGGAAUUCCUAGUGUAGAGGUGAAAUUCGUAAAUAUUAGGAGGAACACCAGUGGCGAAGGCGUCUAUCUGGUUCAAAUCUGACGCUGAGGCGCGAAGGGCGUGGGGAGCAAACAGGGAUUAGAUACC